rnacentral:lncRNA from 1 species
GUGUUCUCGCCUGCAGAGGUGAGUUCUCAGAUGCCCCGGAACACCCUUGGCAAAGGCACCAGAGCUCUCUGAUUGCAGCUGAUUCUCGGGGGGCACUGAAGCCAGUCUGAGCCAGUCACAGGAGGGCCUUGAGGAGAUGCUGAGUAUGGCCUGGGGGUGUGGGAGAGGAAGGGGCUCAGGAAAACUUCUGUAAGGAGCCAGAUAAAAGUUUUUAAAAUAAUGUUUUAAAUGUUUGUCAAAGAAAGCAAUAGAUUUGUAAAGAAAUUAGUAGGUAAGUAGUGAAAAUUGAUUCUCCUUCCCAUUCCCAAUCCUGUGGCAACUCUUGUUACAGAUUUUAUUUAUCCUCCACAGAUACAUCAUGCGUUCACAAUGAACAUAGAAUUUACUGGGUUUUAGACUGAGCCAUCCUUAACUUGUCAACAGUUACUUUGAAAACAAACCAGCUCUCCCAAAUUGGGGUUUUGCGGGGUUAUGAGAUGUGUUUCAAAAGAAUGUUUCGUACUUUAAACAUCUUGGAAAACUUGAAUUAAAACAGAGCUAAUGGAUUUCUUCUUUCCAGACCUUCUCAGAGCUUUUAGUAUGCUAGUGUGCACGUGGCUUGCCUACAAAAGGGUGUUGACUGAACUAUUUGCCCAAAUUAUAAUCAUUUGAGUAUACAGCUUUUUGUGGGGGCAGGCAGAACUGAGACAUACCAAAAUCAGUUUGGGAAAUGCUGUAUUUGAAAAUGCUUUCUAUUUAAAUAUUCUCUUUGCAAUCAUUUUUGCUCUGUUGAUUUGCUUAGCAAAGUCUUCAUGUCUGGGACAAUAUCCAUUUCUUACUGACUCAUCAAAAACCCCCACUCGACACGUCGAUGAGAGAGGUUUUGUUUGCUGUGUGGCAUGUUCAGUGAAAGCGUGGUUUCCAGUUUCUUCACAUCCUUAUAAUUUUCUAGACUUCAGAUGGAGGGAACAAUCAGAGGAGGCUGGAAUCCUGCCUCUGACCAAGGAAAAGACCAGAGGCUGAGCCAGGUGGGGUCUCUUGUCCAGCCCUCUGCUUGCCUCGCUUUACCUGGGUGUGGGCUGAGUAAUUCCAGACAAGCGUGGAAUUAAUCUGGCUGUUUGUGCUGUUCAGUGGCACGCUGGUUACACCUCCUUCUGGAAACAACUCUGCGUGUGCUGUUUGGGUGGUAGGAUUCCGGGUCUCCUUCUCCGUCUUUUUAUAACAUCAAGUUGCUGCCCAGCUCAGGCUCCUUUACGGCCAGUCUUCAGAAAACCACCAGCUAACACAUUUACUACCCUCCUUCCCCGAUGUUCCUGUAGCUUCUCUAUGGCUGGGUGGCCAGGCAUGGCCGAAGAGGCUCUGGGUAGAUAUAGGCUCUGUGCCCGGUGUGUGUAACUGGCCUUGAGUGAGGCUGCAGUUGUGUGUUAUUUCUAUUAGGUCACUGUGGAAUUUCUAGCGACAACUAAUCUUUCAAAGUGUGUUUAUUGGUCACAGGAUUAUUGGGCCAGCCUCUGCCUUCAUUCUUUUUCACCUAAUCUGCAUAAUAGCUGUGUUAUCCCCAUUUUAGAGAAGAAGAAACAGGGGCUCAGAGAAGUCUAGUAACCUGUGUGAGGCCACACAGCAAACACCUCAUGACCCUGCCCUCCUAAGGCAGCCCAUGGCUACUGCUGGAGGGAUAGAGGCCGGCCCCGUGGUUUGAUGGGACAGCUUGACCUUAAACAGCCCAUGGGAAGGCGGGUGCAUCUGGUUUAGGAACAGGCUGCUAGAAAGGUAUCCAGGAUGUGGUAGUCUCACCGGAAGGAGCCAGUCAGAAUAGCACAGCCUGUGGCCACGCGUGGGACCUGUUCAGCCUCAUGGAGCUUUGGGAGGCAGCCAGCAGCAGGGCAUGGGCUGUGUGCAGGCGAGGCGCUGGCCUGGACGCCGCCCCCACUGCGUAACUUCGUGUUUGGAAUGCGUGGGCACAUACCGUGCGGCUGCUUCUGGCCGGGGGAUAUUCUUUUCCAAUUUUGAGCCAAGGUGGAGACUGUCUCCUCGUGCCAUCCCUGGCAUGUCCUGGCAAGACGUGAACGAUCUCAAUAGACGAGCUUUGCAGAGUGUGUCUGACCUGACUCCUGCUGUCUUGGGAGUUUAGCUCUUCAGCCAGCAGCAUGCUGUUUGACAUGUGUUUCAAGCCCCCCAAGAAAGGGUGCUUGAAAUUUAAAAUUGAACUGAUGUGGCUUUUCAAAAUGGAAUUGGAAAUGAAAGGAUAUUAAAUUGCAGACACCCACACAAAAGACUGGUUUCCACUGACUAAACUGCUUUUUUUUGCUGAUAGUAGUUGAAAGUAGGGAGAGUAACAGCAUCUCUUCCAGCUUUUUCUCUUUUGUUCCCUUGUUUUGAUGAUGGGUUAUUUCGGGGGAAGCUCUGGCUGGCCUUGCUUUGUGUCAUCUUAGGGAUAACAAAGAGGAUGAAAGAGAUCAGGAAAACCGAGAAGGCAGAACAGAACCAGCAGAAACUGUGCUUGAGGAAUGAAAAUCACCUACACGGCUCCUUGUCAUAUGAGACUGUGGCCCAGCCUCCUGCAAAGCCAUUUAAGAGUAACCCAGUGAAGCUGCAACAGCCGGCAUUUCACAUGUCCAUCAUCGGACAGCGUAGGUGGGACCAUCAGUCAUGGUGUCCUACCCUCUGUGGCCAAGGAGUGGACACAGGACCCAGUUAGGGCAAGCAGAGGCUCCCCUUGGAAUCGCAAAGUGAAGCUGGAUGCCACCCACAGAGACUAACAUGGUGAAGCUGCUGUAGCCCCUGCUGUUGAGCCCCCAGCACUGCCUGAGUUCUUGCACUUUACACAUGUGCGCUCACUUUGCCUGCUGAGUCUUGGGACCCGGAAGAGCUUUUGGGAGACAAUCACGGACCAGCCCCCUCUUGCCUGCCCUGCUGUCUCCCUCCAAGCAGGAGGUGAGAAGGUGUCCACCUGCAGCCCCGGCCAGGCAUCCCUUUCUGUGCUUCUGCCCAAAUCUGAAAUUCCCCUCUCCUUGGGACCCACGACUGGGGCCAGCCUGCCUGGGGAGGGAAUCCCAGCUGCAGAAAGUCGGGACAGUGUGCGUGUAAACAUGUUAAUAGAAAGCAGCUUUGAGGGCAGACUAGUUCAGCUUCAGUUACAAACUCUUUCCAAAUGCGUUUAACAUGAGCCACUGGCUGUGCGCAGCAUAUGUCAAGCUUUCAUCCAAUGGUGGCAUUUUGUCCCUGCGGGGUUUUUUUUUCCUGAGCAGUUUGGGGCAGGGGUGGGGACAGGGAGAGAGAAAAGUAAAAAGAGAGCAGUUUGGUUUCUUCAGGCUGGAGUACAAGGCAGAGGUAAUGGGAUGUAUUGAAGAAGGUAGGAGGGAAAGUUACUUUAGCUACAGCUAUUUGUCCAGCUGUGCUGAUUAAGAAACUUGGAGAAAAGCAUCUUUGGAAUCAUGUCCUUCCCAUCUUAUAUACAGCCUUUGCAGAUUUCCUGCUGUUCUGAGAGAGAUCUGAACUCCUUACCAGGACCUUGAGGGCCCCACCUGAUUGGGCACCCCUCACUCUCUCUGCCCCUCCUCCCCUUCCCCUCCUCCCCUCCUUUCUCCACCCCCACCUGCUCUGCUCAGACACCCCUUCCUUGGUUGCUUCCCACAGGCCAGGGCUGUCCCCUGGGGCCUUGGCUGUUCCCCUCCCAGGAGCGCCCCUCUCCA